UUGAACAUUUGCUAAUGUGCAGGAUUGGACUAUGGUCGUUUCCACGAUAAACGUGCCGGAUUGGACCUCGAUUUUGGUUCAGGAUUGGACCCUCUUUUUAUCUUUAUUUUCAAAAUCCUUUAUAUUUUCGAAUCUCGACUUCACUUUAUCAUGUUUUAGUUUGAUUAAUGUAGCUUAUUAGAUUCUCAGACAUUUCCAUGACCAUGGUGUAUUUUGAAUUUUUUUUACUGUUAUCAAAUUACAUCGUCGUUCAAGUUCCCAACGACGACAAUUGCUACUGUAAAAAUAUCCAUUCGCUAUCUCCUUGAAAUUGAACCAAUAUAACAGAUAUAUACAUGAAUCAUCAAUCUUUGCUUACGACAGAUGUAACGUUGACUGUUCGUAUCCAGGAUAUAUAAGGCCAUUUUGACCUAUAAAACACGUAUCAAGCCCUAGAACUUCAUUCCAUGAGAUGGGUACACUUCGAAUGUGAGAAAUUUGUGGUGUGGAAUUCAAGACCAAUUCUGAACUGCGUAGGCAUGUGAAAAGGAAACAUCAAUCAGAGAAAUUGUCCCCGUUUGUGACCAGUGCAACAUACGCUUUUGCACAUUAUAAAAGAAACAUGAAGUAAAAAAAAAAAAUACAUUGUUUUCUGAAUACACGAGGUGCAUACAUAUACCAUGGCAGCCGUUUUAUAUAUCCGUUUAUGUACAUUAUGAAACGAUUAUUUUUACGGUAUUAUGCUUUGUUUUACAGAGAUACUACUAAUCUUUUACAUUGCAUUUUACACAUGUUGAUUUGUCAUUUCAUUGAACCAGAAGUGUUCUAAGUUUUAUUUGUUAUUAAAUAUAUUUCAAUGUUA